rnacentral:lncRNA from 1 species
AUCAAUUGGUGUUUUAAGGGGAACCAGGUCACAAUCACACCGUUUCAGAACCGAUUCAGUUCCCAACUGAUUCCUAUCCAAAUUGGCCAUCAUGUUAAAAAAAUCACUAGAGUUUGGAACAUUGGAUGCAACCAAAAAAAACGAAAUAAAUUUUGGAAAAUUGUUUGACGUGUCCAAGCUCGCAAUUGUUACAAUGCGGGUUUGGAGAUCUACACCGUCCACCAAAUCCGAGUCCCAUAAAUAAUAAUUCCCUAAAGUAAAACUAAACUUCAACGGUUCAAAUUUUUUUUUACAAAAAGUCUCUCCACCUUGCAUUCUGCCUUUAAGAAAACCUUUAUCUUUCUCUAGAGAGAAACCUCCAUUCUAUCUCUAAUCAAACACAACAUUUUCCUCCUUACAGGGAAACCUACAUGCCCUCUCUAACCAGGCAACUGCAGUCUCUUUCUCUCCACCCAAAAACCCAUUUCCAUGUCACUUUCACAAAAAACUUACUCUCUCACACAUAUCAUGGAAUAUCUGCAUAAUCUCUAGAAACAAAUAAGACCGGCAUUUACAUUAAACCUCAGAUUCAAAAGACAUUAGGAUAACAAAAAUACACAAAGGCAUAAUUAAGUAGCAGGUGCACAAUCGUAAUCAUCGUCAUCGUCAUCGUCGUCUCCUUCGGUUCGGAGGAUUUUCUUCUGAUGCCAUUUCUGGCAACCCAAGUGAGCAUCAUGCCUAUCCAACAUCUUUCUGGUUUGGGUACAAGAAAAUGGAAACUAAACCAGGGAAUAUAGAAGUAAGUAAAUAUGGAGAUUUCUUGUACUUCCUAAUUGAGUAUUGAGAAAAUGAAUUUGCAUGAAAUGAAA